rnacentral:rRNA from 1 species
CCUACGGGAGGCAGCAGUGAGGAAUAUUGGUCAAUGGGCGCGAGCCUGAACCAGCCAAGUAGCGUGAAGGAUGACUGCCCUACGGGUUGUAAACUUCUUUUAUAAAGGAAUAAAGUGAGGCACGUGUGCCUUUUUGUAUGUACUUUAUGAAUAAGGAUCGGCUAACUCCGUGCCAGCAGCCGCGGUAUACGGGGGAUGCGAGGGGUUUUCGGAUUUAUUGGGGUUAAAGGGGGCGCAGGAGGAAGGGGCCAGUCAGAGGUAAAAUUGCGGGGCUCAACCCCGCCGUGCCGUUGAAACUGCUCUUCUAGAGUGGGCGAGAAGUAUGCGGAAUGCGUGGUGUAGCGGUGAAAUGCAUAGAUAUCACGCAGAACUCCGAUUGCGAAGGCAGCAUACCGGCGCCCAACUGACGCUCAUGCACGAAAGCGUGGGUAUCGAACAGGAUUAGAUACCCUAGUAGUC